rnacentral:rRNA from 1 species
GUUUGAUCCUGGCUCAGAGCGAACGUUAGCGGCAGGCUUAACACAUGCAAGUCGAGCGAGAAAGGGGCUUCGGCUCCGAGUAAAGCGGCGGACGGGUGCGUAACACGUGGAUAAUCUGCCUCGUGGCGGGGGACAACAGUCCGAAAGGACUGCUAAUACCGCAUGUCAGGUCGGAAACUCCGGUUUCUGACGAAAAAGAGGGCGUCCGCAAGGAGCUCUCACCACGAGAUGAGUCCGCGUCCCAUCAGCUAGUUGGCGGUGUAAUGGACCACCAAGGCUUAGACGGUAGCUGGUCUGAGAGGAUGACCAGCCACACUGGGACUGAGACACGGCCCAGACUCCUACGGGAGGCAGCAGUGGGGAAUAUUGGACAAUGGGCGAAAGCCUGAUCCAGCCAUGCCGCGUGAGUGAUGAAGGCCUUCGGGUCG